AACGAACGCUGGCGGCAUGCCUAACACAUGCCAGUCGAACGAGACCUUCGGGUCUAGUGGCGCACGGGUGCGUAACGCGUGGGAACCUGCCCUUAGGUUCGGAAUAACUCCCCGAAAGGGGUGCUAAUAACGGAUAAUGUCUUCGGACCAAAGAUUUAUCGCCUUUGGAUGGGCCCGCGUUGGAUUAGCUAGUUGGUAGGGUAAAAGCCUGCCAAGGCGACGAUCCAUAGCUGGUCUGAGAGGAUGCUCAGCCACACUGGGACUGAGACACGGCCCAGACUCCUACGGGAGGCAGCAGUUGGGAAUAUUGGACAAUGGGCGAAAGCCUGAUCCAGCACGGCCGCGUGAGUGAUGAAGGCCUUAGGGUUGUAAAGCUCUUUUACCCGGGAUGAUAAUGACAGUACCGGUAGAAUAAGCGCCGGCUAACUCCGUG
rnacentral:rRNA from 1 species